rnacentral:tRNA from 1 species
GCCCGGGUGGCGGAAUUGGUAGACGCGCGGGAUUCAAAAUCCCGUUCCCGCAAGGGAGUGAGGGUUCAAGUCCCUCCCCGGGCACCA